GGGCGUUUGGUCUUAGUGGUAUGAUUCUUGCUUUGGGAGCAAGAGAUCGUGAGUUCAAUUCUCGCAACGCCCC